rnacentral:rRNA from 1 species
AACUUUCAACAACGGAUCUCUUGGUUCCAGCAUCGAUGAAGAACGCAGCGAAAUGCGAUAAAUAAUGUGAAUUGCAGAAUUUAGUGAAUCAUCGAGUCUUUGAACGCACAUUGCGCCCCUCGGCAUUCCGGGGGGCAUGCCUGUCCGAGCGUCAUU